UUCUUUUAAGUAAUGUGAGA
rnacentral:snRNA from 1 species